rnacentral:rRNA from 1 species
GGUAGUGACGGUACAGAGGCGACGGUAAGACUGAGGGGUCAGGCUUGGUACGGAUGUAUGGGGCGGAAAUGGCUGGGAGGCGGUGUGACGCGUCAGCAGUGAAAGGCCGGGGCUCAACCCGGUGUCUGUGGGGGGUACGGGCAGAAUGGAGUGCAGUAGGGGAGGCCGGAAUUCUUGGUGUAGCGGUGAAAUGCGCAGAUAUCAGGAGGAACUCCGAUGGCGAAGGCAGGUCUCUGGGCAGUAACUGACGCGGAGGAGCGAAAGCAUGGGGAGCGAACAGGAUUAGAUACCCCAGUAGUC